UCGAGUAUGGUGUAACGGUUAACAUUGCCGCCUUUCAAAACAUGGUUCGCAUAUACGCGGCAGCUCGGGGUUCGAUUCCCCGUACUCGAA
rnacentral:tRNA from 1 species